ACCUGACUUUAGGGGUGUCUGUCAUCAUACAGGCUGAGAUUUUACCCUUGGAACCUGAUCCGGAUCAUACCGGCGGAGGGAAAAGUAAAAUGUCUUCA
rnacentral:ncRNA from 2 species